GGAGAGGUGGCAGAGCGGUCGAAUGCGCACGCUUGGAAAGCGUGUGACUCACAAGGUCCCAGGGUUCGAAUCCCUGCCUCUCCG
rnacentral:tRNA from 1 species